rnacentral:rRNA from 1 species
GACGAACGCUGGCGGCGUGCCUAAUACAUGCAAGUUGAGCGCUGAAGGUUGGUACUUGUACCGACUGGAUGAGCAGCGAACGGGUGAGUAACGCGUGGGGAAUCUGCCUUUGAGCGGGGGACAACAUUUGGAAACGAAUGCUAAUACCGCAUAAAAACUUUAAACACAAGUUUUAAGUUUGAAAGAUGCAAUUGCAUCACUCAAAGAUGAUCCCGCGUUGUAUUAGUUAGUUGGUGAGGUAAAGGCUCACCAAGGCGAGGAUACAUAGCCGACCUGAGAGGGUGAUCGGCCACAUUGGGACUGAGACACGGCCCAAACUCCUACGGGAGGCAGCAGUAGGGAAUCUUCGGCAAUGGACGAAAGUCUGACCGAGCAACGCCGCGGGAGUGAAGAAGGGUUUCGGAUCGUAAAACUCUGUUGGUAGAGAAGAACGUUGGUGAGAGUGGAAAGCUCAUCAAGUGACGGUAACUACACAGAAAGGGACGGCUAACUACGUG